rnacentral:lncRNA from 1 species
AUGCCCCUCUGUGCGUUCAUGCAGAUGAAGGAAUUCGGUGCACAGAGGACCUGUGACCUGCCCAGGGCUGCAGGCAGCAGACGGCAGUCACGCCUGGUCUCCGCAGCCUCCAAGCCUCGGACAAGUGAAAUGGCAGAGACUGGCUAUUGUGCCUUUGGAGGGGAUUACUUUGAAUGGUCUGGAAAAGCUGAGAGGACACCAGGUCUGAUCCCUGUCCCCAGCCUACACUGUGAUGUCAUGGUUGGUAUAUUCUUAGUUAUCUCUUUCUUCCCUGGGACUCAUAGCCUACUUUUGCUCCCUUUUAAGUUAAAAACUAAACCUUAAUUAUACAGAGAGAAUCACUAGAUGGGACAUGAUUCGCC